UAGGGAAUCUUGGACAAUGGGGGAAAACCCUGAUCCAGCCAUGCCGCGUGAGUGAAGAAGGCCUUAGGGUCGUAAAACUCUUUCGCCAGGGAAGAUAAUGACGGUACCUGGUAAAGAAACCCCGGCUAACUCUGUGCCAGCAGCCGCGGUAAUACGGAGGGGGAUUAGCGUUGUUCGGAAUUACUGGGCGUAAAGCGCACGUAGGCGGGCUGAAAAGUUGGGGUGAAAUCCCGGGGCUCAACCCCGGAACUGCCUUCAAAACUGACAGCCCUAGAGUUCGAGAGAGGUGAGUGGAAUUCCGAGUGUAGAGGUGAAAUUCGUAGAUAUUCGGAGGAACACCAGUGGCGAAGGCGGCUCACUGGCUCGAUACUGACGCUGAGGUGCG
rnacentral:rRNA from 1 species